CCCUCCCGCUUUAUGGUUCUGCCUUAUAAACCCUGUGCUUUGGGCUUUGGGGUUGAGAGUUUUUAGGGCAUGAGCCCACCCUCCACUGCUGGCAAUGAAGGACUGUCAGGUUUUAUCAGUGUGUGGUGCUCCUCUGUUUGCCCUCACUCAGUACAACAUUUUGGAGGCCCCAGCAACAUAUGGAGACCACCCCCGGGAAGACCUCUCUCCGAUCCUUCCAGAGGCCCAGGAGCAGACAUGGCCAGAUGAAGGUGGAUACUGAGCUCAUGCGGAAGCAGAGGGGAAGACCCUAACGUCCAAUUCAGGAUCUCCCUCUGCAUCGUGCACAGGUCUUGUGACUCGCAGGCAAAGCACCUGUGUUCAUCACACAUUUUCCCAUCCAACCAGGCUGGUAGUGCCUGCCUCUUCCAUCGCAAAGCAGGAAUGUUCUCAACAUCUGUGUUUAAAAGAAUACAAGGCUGGGGGAGCUGGGAGAGUCUGGGUGGGGUCCUAACCUAUGUGGACUCUUGGUGAGUCGCUUUAGCUGUUUGAGCCUUAGUUUAGCCAGUUUAGCCUCUGAAACACAAGGGGAAUAGCAAUAGUGAGAGCUGGCAUGAUUGAACCCUCCUCACUCGGGGCCCGUUAAUGUGCUCAGUGCUCCGGUUAUUUAAUCCUCAGAACAACUUAAGAGAGGGUCACUGUUAGCCCUAUUUUAUUUUUUUUUAAAGAUUUAUUUUUUUAAAUUUAUUUGAAAGAGUUACACAGAGAGAGAAGGAGAGGCAGAGAGAGAGAGAGGUCUUCCAUCUGCUGGUUCACUCCCCAUAUGGCCACAAUGGCUGGAGCUGUGCCAAUCCAAAGCCAGGAGCCAGGAGCUUCUUCUGGGUCUCCCACACAGGUGCAGGGACUUGGGCCAUCUUUUACUGCUAUCCCAUGCCAUAGCAGAGAGCUGGAUCAGAAGAGGAGCAGCUGGGACUAGAACUGGUGCCCAUAUGGGAUGCCAGCACUUUAGGCCAGGGUUUUAACCUGCUUUGCCACAGUGCCAACCCCAGCCCCAUUUUAGAGAUGAAGAAAUGCAGACUAAGAGUUUAGUUAGUUUACCCCAGGCCUUAACCCCUCAAGUUAAUGGAAGAAUUGUGUGAGCUCUUUAUGAAUGUGAUUUCAACUAUGAAGCACAUUUGUAGAUGUAUAUAUCUACACACACACACUGGUCCAUAAUUUACAACAUAAAAAUAUAUUGAGGAUUUUUUAGUAAAUCCUGUAUUUCAUAUCA
rnacentral:lncRNA from 1 species